GAUGAACGCUGGCGGCGUGCCUAACACAUGCAAGUCGAGCGAUUUACUUCGGUAAAGAGCGGCGGACGGGUGAGUAACGCGUGGGUAACCUGCCCUGUACACACGGAUAACAUACCGAAAGGUAUGCUAAUACGAGAUAAUAUGCUUUUAUCGCAUGGUAGAAGUAUCAAAGCUCCGGCGGUACAGGAUGGACCCGCGUCUGAUUAGCUAGUUGGUAAGGUAACGGCUUACCAAGGCGACGAUCAGUAGCCGACCUGAGAGGGUGAUCGGCCAGAUUGGAACUGAGACACGGUCCAAACUCCUACGGGAGGCAGCAGUGGGGAAUAUUGCACAAUGGGCGAAAGCUUGAUGCAGCAACGCCGCGUGAGCGAUGAAGGCCUUCGGGUCGUAAAGCUCUGUCCUCAAGGAAGAUAAUGACGGUACUUGAGGAGGAAGCCCCGGCUAACUACGUGCCAGCAGCCGCGGUAA
rnacentral:rRNA from 1 species